rnacentral:lncRNA from 1 species
GUUUCACAUGAUGCAUGUGUAAAUAUUUAGUUUAUAAAGUAAGUUAACAUGCUGUUAAUAAAGAAUAUUCUGUAUUUCUGCAUGAAAGAUAUAAUUUAUAACAUGAAUUUUUAAAUUUGAAAAAUACUGGUUUUUAUAUGCAUAAGAGUAGGCAAACAAUCACAGAUGACUGGAUUUAAUGUGUUAUGCAGGUCUGAGUGUUCUGUAAGUGGGCUGGAGAUGUUCAAAAGAACAAGAAAAUAAAGAUGCAUAUAAUUCAUAAAAUAUUAGAAAUUUAUUCUGCAAUUUUUUUUGCUUUCACUUAACAUAAUUACUAAUGAUCUGAGAUUAAAAAUAAAAUAUAAUGUUCAAAGUGUACAAAAUCUUAUUACUUGUGAUAGUUAUUUUCUAUAAAAUUUCUGUAAACAUUGAAUUAGUGAAUACUGAGCCAUAACUCACAGGAGAAAUACAGAAUAAGGUACCUAUGUGCCUAUAGGUACAUUUUCAUCAACUCUUCAAUAAUAACCUUGUUUUAUGUGUUUUUCCUGUUCAAAGACACAUUAUAUAAUAUAUACCAUUUGAGUCAUGAAUCAUAUGGCCAACAGCAUGCAUCUGAAUGAAGCUUGUCUAACACACAUAUUUUCUCUGUAAGGCUCAUUAUAGAUUCCUGAAGUUGUAAACACUAGACAGCACUUCAGCAGUACACUUCAGCAUCUGUUUUUUGGUUUUGUUUUGCUUUUUUCAGUGUUGGGGUUUGAGCCCAGGGCCUUUUGUAUGCUAGUCAAGCACUCUAAGACUAGGCUACAACUUUAGCCCCUUGAAUACCAUUUUAUACAUCGAAAUCACCAACUGCACCAAAUGUGGAAAAUGGGGCACUAAAUUGAACUUGAAAAUGAUGCUUGUUUGUAGUCUGAAAGCUAACAUAAGAAGGCAUUACCUUUUUUGUCCUCAACUGGGAAUGCAUAUUUUGGGUGAUUCAGUUUUUUACAUUCUAUUUAUGCCCCCAAAUGAUGGUGGAAAUGCCUAGAAUAUUGAUUUUAGGGUAACAAAUAAAUUUUAGCAAGCCGUAUAAUUGCAAAUACAGAAUUCACAAAUGAUAAGUAUCAACUGUAGUGUUAUUAAAAAUGUGAAUUCAGGAGCCGGG